rnacentral:tRNA from 1 species
GUGGGUAUAGCUCAGUGGUAGAGUGUGUGCUUCACAUGCACAAGGUCCUGGGUUCAAUCCCCAGGACCUCCA